UGAAACCCUCCAGAGACCAGGAAUACCUGGACCCCUCGUUGAUGAAGCCUGCUUACCAGCUCCCUGGACAGAAAGAGCAUCACAAGUGGACUUCAGUGCAUGGGUAGCUCUGAACAGUGGAUCUCCUAAGCUGAGUCCAGAGAUGUGACUGCACAUGGAAGUGUAAGAAAGAGGUAAUGCAAUUGCAGAACAGACCAAACCAGUAGUUCAUACUGGGUAUUAAAUCUCCAUCACCUGUCAAAAAACA